UUAAGUAGCCGAAAUUUUCCAGCGUGCGUUGAUA
rnacentral:sRNA from 1 species